AUUGAACGCUGGCGGCAGGCCUAACACAUGCAAGUCGAGCGGAUGAAGGGAGCUUGCUCCUGGAUUCAGCGGCGGACGGGUGAGUAAUGCCUAGGAAUCUGCCUGGUAGUGGGGGAUAACGUCCGGAAACGGGCGCUAAUACCGCAUACGUCCUGAGGGAGAAAGUGGGGGUUCUUCGGACCCCCCGCUACCGGAUAAGCCUAGGUCGGAUUAGCUAGUUGGUGGGGUAAAGGCCUACCAAGGCGACGAUCCGUAACUGGUCUGAGAGGAUGAUCAGUCACACUGGAACUGAGACACGGUCCAGACUCCUACGGGAGGCAGCAGUGGGGAAUAUUGGACAAUGGGCGAAAGCCUGAUCCAGCCAUGCCGCGUGUGUGAAGAAGGUCUUCGGAUUGUAAAGCACUUUAAGUUGGGAGGAAGGGCAGUAAGUUAAUACCUUGCUGUUUUGACGUUACCAACAGAAUAAGCACCGGCUAACUUCGUG
rnacentral:rRNA from 1 species